rnacentral:tRNA from 6 species
GCCUCCUUAGCUCAGUGGUAGAGCACUCGCCUUGUAAGCGAAAGGUCGUCAGUUCAAUCCUGACAGGGGGCUCC